AUUGAACGCUGGCGGCAUGCCUUACACAUGCAAGUCGAACGGUAACAGGUCUUCGGAUGCUGACGAGUGGCGAACGGGUGAGUAAUACAUCGGAACGUGCCCGAGAGUGGGGGAUAACGAGGCGAAAGCUUUGCUAAUACCGCAUACGAUCUCAGGAUGAAAGCAGGGGACCGCAAGGCCUUGCGCUCACGGAGCGGCCGAUGGCAGAUUAGGUAGUUGGUGGGAUAAAAGCUUACCAAGCCGACGAUCUGUAGCUGGUCUGAGAGGACGACCAGCCACACUGGGACUGAGACACGGCCCAGACUCCUACGGGAGGCAGCAGUGGGGAAUUUUGGACAAUGGGCGCAAGCCUGAUCCAGCCAUGCCGCGUGCAGGAUGAAGGCCUUCGGGUUGUAAACUGCUUUUGUACGGAACGAAAAGACUCUGGUUAAUACCUGGGGUCCAUGACGGUACCGUAAGAAUAAGCACCGGCUAACUACGUGCAAGCCGCCGCGGUAAUAC
rnacentral:rRNA from 1 species